CGCGUAAGUAAUCUACCUUGGCAUUUGGAAUAACUACGGGAAGCUGUAGCUAAUACCGGAUACGUUCAUAUGAUUUCGAUUAUAUGAAGAAAGAUGACCUCUUCUUGAAAGUUAUCGUGCUAAGAGGAGCUUGCGUACCAUUAGCUAGUUGGUAGGGUAAUGGCCUACCAAGGCAACGAUGGUUAGCGGGUCUGAGAGGAUGAUCCGCCACACUGGAACUGGAACACGGACCAGACUCCUACGGGAGGCAGCAGUGAGGAAUAUUGCGCAAUGGGGGAAACCCUGACGCAGCGACGCCGCGUGGAUGAUGAAGGCCUUAGGGUCGUAAAAAUCCUGUCAGAUGGGAAGAAAUGUAUGUAAGAAUAAUACCUUAUGUGC
rnacentral:rRNA from 1 species